rnacentral:rRNA from 1 species
GGGUUGUGAGGUUAAGCGACUAAGCGUACACGGUGGAUGCCCUGGCAGUCAGAGGCGAUGAAGGACGUGCUAAUCUGCGAUAAGCGUCGGUAAGGUGAUAUGAACCGUUAUAACCGGCGAUUUCCGAAUGGGGAAACCCAGUGUGUUUCGACACACUAUCAUUAACUGAAUCCAUAGGUUAAUGAGGCGAACCGGGGGAACUGAAACAUCUAAGUACCCCGAGGAAAAGAAAUCAACCGAGAUUCCCCCAGUAGCGGCGAGCGAACGGGGAGCAGCCCAGAGCCUGAAUCAGUGUGUGUGUUAGUGGAAGCGUCUGGAAAGGCGCGCGAUACAGGGUGACAGCCCCGUACACAAAAAUGCACAUGCUGUGAGCUCGAUGAGUAGGGCGGGACACGUGGUAUCCUGUCUGAAUAUGGGGGGACCAUCCUCCAAGGCUAAAUACUCCUGACUGACCGAUAGUGAACCAGUACCGUGAGGGAAAGGCGAAAAGAACCCCGGCGAGGGGAGUGAAAAAGAACCUGAAACCGUGUACGUACAAGCAGUGGGAGCACGCUUAGGCGUGUGACUGCGUACCUUUUGUAUAAUGGGUCAGCGACUUAUAUUCUGUAGCAAGGUUAACCGAAUAGGGGAGCCGAAGGGAAACCGAGUCUUAACUGGGCGUUAAGUUGCAGGGUAUAGACCCGAAACCCGGUGAUCUAGCCAUGGGCAGGUUGAAGGUUGGGUAACACUAACUGGAGGACCGAACCGACUAAUGUUGAAAAAUUAGCGGAUGACUUGUGGCUGGGGGUGAAAGGCCAAUCAAACCGGGAGAUAGCUGGUUCUCCCCGAAAGCUAUUUAGGUAGCGCCUCGUGAAUUCAUCUCCGGGGGUAGAGCACUGUUUCGGCAAGGGGGUCAUCCCGACUUACCAACCCGAUGCAAACUGCGAAUACCGGAGAAUGUUAUCACGGGAGACACACGGCGGGUGCUAACGUCCGUCGUGAAGAGGGAAACAACCCAGACCGCCAGCUAAGGUCCCAAAGUCAUGGUUAAGUGGGAAACGAUGUGGGAAGGCCCAGACAGCCAGGAUGUUGGCUUAGAAGCAGCCAUCAUUUAAAGAAAGCGUAAUAGCUCACUGGUCGAGUCGGCCUGCGCGGAAGAUGUAACGGGGCUAAACCAUGCACCGAAGCUGCGGCAGCGACACUAUGUGUUGUUGGGUAGGGGAGCGUUCUGUAAGCCUGUGAAGGUGUACUGUGAGGUAUGCUGGAGGUAUCAGAAGUGCGAAUGCUGACAUAAGUAACGAUAAAGCGGGUGAAAAGCCCGCUCGCCGGAAGACCAAGGGUUCCUGUCCAACGUUAAUCGGGGCAGGGUGAGUCGACCCCUAAGGCGAGGCCGAAAGGCGUAGUCGAUGGGAAACAGGUUAAUAUUCCUGUACUUGGUGUUACUGCGAAGGGGGGACGGAGAAGGCUAUGUUGGCCGGGCGACGGUUGUCCCGGUUUAAGCGUGUAGGCUGGUUUUCCAGGCAAAUCCGGAAAAUCAAGGCUGAGGCGUGAUGACGAGGCACUACGGUGCUGAAGCAACAAAUGCCCUGCUUCCAGGAAAAGCCUCUAAGCAUCAGGUAACAUCAAAUCGUACCCCAAACCGACACAGGUGGUCAGGUAGAGAAUACCAAGGCGCUUGAGAGAACUCGGGUGAAGGAACUAGGCAAAAUGGUGCCGUAACUUCGGGAGAAGGCACGCUGAUAUGUAGGUGAAGUCCCUCGCGGAUGGAGCUGAAAUCAGUCGAAGAUACCAGCUGGCUGCAACUGUUUAUUAAAAACACAGCACUGUGCAAACACGAAAGUGGACGUAUACGGUGUGACGCCUGCCCGGUGCCGGAAGGUUAAUUGAUGGGGUUAGCCGCAAGGCGAAGCUCUUGAUCGAAGCCCCGGUAAACGGCGGCCGUAACUAUAACGGUCCUAAGGUAGCGAAAUUCCUUGUCGGGUAAGUUCCGACCUGCACGAAUGGCGUAAUGAUGGCCAGGCUGUCUCCACCCGAGACUCAGUGAAAUUGAACUCGCUGUGAAGAUGCAGUGUACCCGCGGCAAGACGGAAAGACCCCGUGAACCUUUACUAUAGCUUGACACUGAACAUUGAGCCUUGAUGUGUAGGAUAGGUGGGAGGCUUUGAAGUGUGGACGCCAGUCUGCAUGGAGCCGACCUUGAAAUACCACCCUUUAAUGUUUGAUGUUCUAACGUUGACCCGUAAUCCGGGUUGCGGACAGUGUCUGGUGGGUAGUUUGACUGGGGCGGUCUCCUCCUAAAGAGUAACGGAGGAGCACGAAGGUUGGCUAAUCCUGGUCGGACAUCAGGAGGUUAGUGCAAUGGCAUAAGCCAGCUUGACUGCGAGCGUGACGGCGCGAGCAGGUGCGAAAGCAGGUCAUAGUGAUCCGGUGGUUCUGAAUGGAAGGGCCAUCGCUCAACGGAUAAAAGGUACUCCGGGGAUAACAGGCUGAUACCGCCCAAGAGUUCAUAUCGACGGCGGUGUUUGGCACCUCGAUGUCGGCUCAUCACAUCCUGGGGCUGAAGUAGGUCCCAAGGGUAUGGCUGUUCGCCAUUUAAAGUGGUACGCGAGCUGGGUUUAGAACGUCGUGAGACAGUUCGGUCCCUAUCUGCCGUGGGCGCUGGAGAACUGAGGGGGGCUGCUCCUAGUACGAGAGGACCGGAGUGGACGCAUCACUGGUGUUCGGGUUGUCAUGCCAAUGGCACUGCCCGGUAGCUAAAUGCGGAAGAGAUAAGUGCUGAAAGCAUCUAAGCACGAAACUUGCCCCGAGAUGAGUUCUCCCUGACUCCUUGAGAGUCCUGAAGGAACGUUGAAGACGACGACGUUGAUAGGCCGGGUGUGUAAGCGCAGCGAUGCGUUGAGCUAACCGGUACUAAUGAACCGUGAGGCUUAACCUUACAACGCCGAAG